rnacentral:rRNA from 1 species
ACUUAAAUUGAAGAGUUUGAUCAUGGCUCAGAUUGAACGCUGGCGGCAGGCCUAACACAUGCAAGUCGAGCGGUAGCACAGAGAGCUUGCUCUCGGUGACGAGCGGCGGACGGGU